rnacentral:tRNA from 1 species
AGCGGGGUGGAGCAGUGGUAGCUCGUCGGGCUCAUAACCCGAAGGUCGUCGGUUCGAAUCCGUCCCCCGCAACCA